rnacentral:rRNA from 1 species
AUGCUAUCGCGGUUCAAUAAUUCGCUCUGGAUGCAGGAAGACGACGGCCAUGAGCAACAGGGCCUCGGCCACGAGCAGCCGGCGGCAAUGGGGAUGAUGCCGAUGAUGGGGCAGGAGGCUGGGCACCACCACGACCAGCACCUCCUGGCUAUGCCCACGCGGGGAGACGGCGGGUUCCGCGCCCCGUCGAUGCUUGAUGAGGACUGGUACUUUGGCGCGGGCGCGGUUGGCGACGGCGCCGCGAACGGGUCCAUGGCCCUGGUGCCAGCCGCCAUGGAAGCAUCGGGGUCCAGCUCCGGCUUCGGAGCCGGUCCACAGAUAUUCCCGCUCCUCAACCUGGGCGGUAGCGGACCGUUCGACGUCUCUGGGUUCGACCUCGGCGGCUCCGGCGCUGGAGGCGGCGAUUUCACGGCGUUCCUUGGCGCCGGCAACGCGUCGAACACAUCGCCGGUUUCCCUGCUGCCGCAUGGGAACGCGGGGUUUCUCGGCUCCUUCGGCGGCUUUGGCACCGCACCGGCACAGAUGACAGAGUUUGGUGGCCUCGCCGGUUUCGACUUGUUCGACACCGGUGCCGGGGGCGGAGGCGGGGGCGGGAGCGGCUCCUCCUCAGAGGGGCCGGCUGCUCCAGUUUCCUUGACCGCUCCUUUCUCCGGUCGUGGCAAGGCGGCGGUGCUGCGGCCGCUGGAGAUCUUCCCGCCUGUGGGGGCGCAGCCAACGCUCUUCCAGAAGCGCGCACUACGGCGUAAUGCCGGCGAAGAGGAUGACGACAAGAAGCGUAAGGCGGCGGCGGCGGCGGAAGGAAGCGCCCUGUCCGCGGGCUGUGACACCAUGCUCGACGACGCCGACGAGGACAUGGGCAGCAUUGACGCGUCCGGGCUGAAUUACGACUCGGAGGACGGGAGGGGCGUGGAGGAGAGCGGCAGGAAGGACGGCAAGGAGUCGAACGCCAACAGCACGGUGACCGGCGGCGCUGCGGCUGAAGGGAAGGGGAAGAAGAAGGGAAUGCCAGCCAAGAACCUCAUGGCGGAGCGCCGUCGUCGGAAGAAGCUCAAUGACCGGCUCUACAUGCUCAGGUCCGUCGUGCCGAAGAUCAGCAAGAUGGACAGGGCUUCUAUUCUCGGCGACGCGAUCGAGUACCUCAAGGAGCUCCUGCACAAGAUCAGUGAUCUUCAGAAUGAGCUUGAGUCGUCUCCUUCCAUGCCCUCGCUGCCUCCGACGCCCACAAGCUUCCACCCUCUGACUCCGACGUUGCCCGCGCUGCCAUCCCGCGUGAAGGAGGAGCUUUGCCCGAGUGCGCUGCCAAGCCCUACCGGCCAGCAGCCAACCGUUGAGGUUAGGCUCCGGGAAGGCCGGGCCGUCAACAUCCACAUGCUGUGCCCUCGCAGGCCCGGGCUUGUGCUCUCUGCCAUGAAGGCGAUCGAAGCCCUUGGUCUUGAUGUGCAGCAGGCCGUUAUCAGCUGCUUCAAUGGCUUUGCCUUGGACGUCUUCAAGGCUGAGCAAUGCAAGGAUGGCCCUGGUCUUCAGCCCGAGGAGAUCAAGGCGGUUCUCUUGCAAUCCGCGGGGUUCCAUCCCGCGAUGUAG